rnacentral:rRNA from 1 species
CCUACGGGAGGCUGCAGUGGGGAAUAUUGCACAAUGGGGGAAACCCUGAUGCAGCGACGCCGCGUGAGUGAAGAAGUAUUUCGGUAUGUAAAGCUCUAUCAGCAGGGAAGAAGAAAGACGGUACCUGACUAAGAAGCCCCGGCUAACUACGUGCCAGCAGCCGCGGUAAUACGUAGGGGGCAAGCGUUAUCCGGAUUUACUGGGUGUAAAGGGAGCGUAGACGGCUGUGCAAGUCUGAAGUGAAAGCCCAGGGCUCAACCCUGGGACUGCUUUGGAAACUGUGGAGCUGGAGUGCUGGAGAGGUAAGUGGAAUUCCUAGGGUAGCGGUGAAAUGCGUAGAUAUUAGGAGGAACACCAGUGGCGAAGGCGGCUUACUGGACAGUAACUGACGUUGAGGCUCGAAAGCGUGGGGAGCAAACAGGAUUAGAUACCCCAGUAGUC